rnacentral:rRNA from 1 species
CAGACCUGAAAUCAGGCGAGGUUACCCGCUGAACUUAAGCAUAUUAUUAAGCGGAGGAGAAGAAAAUAACUAUGAUUCCCUUAGUAACGGCGAGUGAACCGGGAUCAGCUCAAAGUGGAAAUCAACUGCUCUUUCCGAGCUGUUGACUUGUAGCCUCGAGAGGCGUUACCAGUGGAAGCGCAGGGUUAAGUUUCUUGGGAAAGAACAUCAUAGAGGGUGAGAAUCCCGUCCUUCCCCUGCGUUUUUUGUUCCACGUACGGUACGCUUUUAUAGAGUCGCGUUCAUCGGGAUUUGAGCGCAAAAUGUGUGGUAGGUUUCACAUAAAGCUAAGUACUGGCGCGAGACCGAUAGCAAACAAGUACCG